rnacentral:rRNA from 1 species
GACGAACGCUGACGGCGUGCCUAAUACAUGCAAGUCGAACGCUUUUUCUUUCACCGGAGCUUGCUCCACCGAAAGAAAAAGAGUGGCGAACGGGUGAGUAACACGUGGGUAACCUGCCCAUCAGAAGGGGAUAACACUUGGAAACAGGUGCUAAUACCGUAUAACACUAUUUUCCGCAUGGAAGAAAGUUGAAAGGCGCUUUUGCGUCACUGAUGGAUGGACCCGCGGUGCAUUAGCUAGUUGGUGAGGUAACGGCUCACCAAGGCAACGAUUCAUCGCCGACCGGAGAGGGUGAUCGGCCACACUGGGACUGAAACACGGCCCAGACUCCUACGGGAGGUAGCAGUAGGGAAUCUUCGGCAAUGGACGAAAGUCUGACCGAGCAACGCCGCGUGAGUGAAGAAGGUUUUCGGAUCGUAAAACUCUGUUGUUAGAGAAGAACAAGGAUGAGAGUAAAACGUUCAUCCCUUGACGGUAUCUAACCAGAAAGCCACGGCUAACUACGUGCCAGCAGCCGCAGUAA